rnacentral:ncRNA from 1 species
UCUCUCAGGGCAGGGUGAAAUUCCCUACCGGCGGUGAAAGUCCGCGACUCCCUGCGGCAUGCAAGGGACUGAACCGGUGGAAUUCCGGUACCGACGGUCAAAGUCCGGAUGGAAGACGGG